rnacentral:rRNA from 1 species
GACGAACGCUGGCGGCGUGCCUAAUACAUGCAAGUUGAGCGCUGAAGGUUGGUACUUGUACCAACUGGAUGAGCAGCGAACGGGUGAGUAACGCGUGGGGAAUCCGCCUUUGAGCGGGGGACAACAUUUGGAAACGAAGGCUAAUACGGCAUAAAAACUUAAAACACAAGUUUUAAGUUUGAAAGAUGAAAUUGCAUCACUAAAAGAUGAUCCCGCGUUGUAUUAGCUAGUUGGUGAGGUAAAGGCUCACCAAGGCGAUGAUACAUAGCCGACCUGAGAGGGUGAUCGGCCACAUUGGGACUGAGACACGGCCCAAACUCCUACGGGAGGCAGCAGUAGGGAAUCUUCGGCAAUGGACGAAAGUCUGACCGAGCAACGCCGCGUGAGUGAAGAAGGUUUUCGGAUCGUAAAACUCUGUUGGUAGAGAAGAACGUUGGUGAGAGUGGAAAGCUCAUCAAGUGACGGUAACUACCCAGAAAGGGACGGCUAACUACGUG